UGAUAUGCUGUUUUUAACUAAGUAGUAUAAUAGAUAUGCUUGUGCUAUACUUUGAAAAGCGUUGUGUCAAAAAUUCUACUAAAAUACGUAAAUAUUUUAUUAGAAUUAUGGAUGUAGUUCAAUUGGGUUCAACUGGGUUUCUUAGCUUUUUCAAGUCUUAUAUAUCGUGUAUUUGUAAUGUGCUAUAUUAUAUUUGAAUAAUCUGCUUCUGGUUUUCACUUUUCAAAUAAUAGUAAGAGAUGACAGUUUUGUGGAAAAUUUUGUCUUGUUUAUGAGUUAGGACUUUCAUUUGAAAAACUCCAACUAUAUGAAUAUGAAAUCUAAAUACGAUGAUAUAUAUUUUUUAGUCCUAAGUUGCUAAAUAUCCCUUAUGGAACUUGUGAAACAACAAUGAAUAUAAUUGACUAUAUUAAAACUGUAGAUAAUACAGGAUAUAUAUAUAUAUAUAUAUAAGCCACAGAAAUGAUAUAUCAAUUAAAACUUAAGCAAUUCAAAUUACAUAAAACACUUUAAUCACUUCAAAAGCAUUAUUAUAUUCUAGCUAUUUCUUAAUACAUACAUAGAUAGCAGGUAUAGUACUAAUGUAACCAAUGAUCAUCGGCUAGUUAAAUUAAUAUUUAGCUAUACAUACAUAUAGUUAGGCGAAGCAUGCACGCAAUGAUUGAGGCUCCCAAGUCUCAAACAAUGAUAAGAAAAUAUUGUGUGAUAGCUAAGGAUCUAAGCCCUGCAUAUUUGUUAAGAUAAGGGCAUGGCUUCCAUUGUGUCAUAUAUUAUUAUUCUUUGGUUCAUUCUUUUUCCACCAAUCUAGUUUCUUUUUCAUUUUACUCCCUUGUUUUACAAGUCUAGGUACACUUAUUUUUAAGUUACCAUUGGUUGCUCGGUAUUAUUUUAUAUGUGGUAAUUAUUGGAUCUUUGACCUACCCUAAUUGUUUUUGGUAUCCUUCUAAUUAUUAUGUUUCUAUCUUGUGAUUCUUUUCUAUUGUAGAAAUUAGAACUUGCAAUGAAUGUCCCCCAUUAUUGUAUUACAGUAUUAGUUUUAUUUAGUGAAUGAGGUUGCAUGUUGGUGGUCCUGUUAUUUCUUUUAAAAAUAAAAGAUGAGUUUUAUUCAGGACAUGACAAUGACAGAUAACAACAUAAGCACAACAUCAUCAUGCAAACAAACAAAAGGGGUCUAUAUAUUUCUGAUUACCUUGGAAGCAGCUUCAAUUGGAAUCAAGUACCAAGGACAAAACACCAAUCCAUUUCAAGAAUUACAACCCACUAUUCUGCUUUUCCUCACAGCAAUAUUUUACCAUGCCAUGACACUAAUAACAUCAAAAUUGGCUUCCAAAUUGCCAUUAUCUUCCAUGUUUCUGGGCUACUUGGCUGCGAGACCCUACUUUGGAUCCUUGUUGCCCAAUUUUGGUGGUGGUAUGUAAUCAUCAAUGUGGUUCCAUUAUUAGUAGUCUUAUUGUGCAUUUGAAAGUUAGUUCUCUAACAUAGCUGGUUGCAUUUUUUGUUGUUUAAAUUUGUAACAUGAUUUAUUACUUUUCAAGAGAAAUUUGUGUAUCAAUAUUUUAAGUUUAAUAAAAUAUCUCAUUUUGUAGUAA